UUUCUAAGCAAUUGGAGAAGGUAAUUAGGAACAGUCAGCAUGAAUUCACCAAGGCAUGUCAUGCCUUACCAAUUUGAUUGCCUGCUAUGACAAGGUGACAGAAGUAUAUGUGGGGAGACUGGUCGAUGUGGUAUACCUUGAUUUUAACAAAUCUGUUGAUAUGGUUUUCCAUAGCAUUUUUGCAGGCA